UUUUCCAAUGAGUCAGUUAUUUGGCCACCUGAUGCGAAGAACUGAGUCCUUUGGAAAAGA
ensembl:miRNA